rnacentral:misc_RNA from 1 species
AAGUCGUAACAAGGUUUCCGUCGGGGAACCAGCGGAAGGAUCAUUUUCACUACAAACACUGCGACUGCGUGGUCAACAAUUUUUAUGCCAUUUUUCAAUCAUCGAAAUCGUAUAGACACAACUGGCACCGGCGGAUCUCUUGGCUCGU